rnacentral:rRNA from 1 species
CCUACGGGUGGCAGCAGUGAGGAAUAUUGGUCAAUGGCCGUAAGGCUGAACCAGCCAAGUAGCGUGAGGGAAGACUGCCCUAUGGGUUGUAAACCUCUUUUAUGCGGGGAUAAAGGUGUCCACGUGUGGAUGUUUGCAGGUACCGCAUGAAUCAGGACCGGCUAAUUCCGUGCCAGCAGCCGCGGUAAUACGGAAGGUCCGGGCGUUAGCCGGUUUUAUUGGGUUUAAAGGGAGCGUAGGCCGGUGUUUAAGCGUGCCGUGAAAUUUUGUGGCUCAACCAUGAGAGUGCGGCGCGAACUGGAGAACUUGAGUGCGCGAGAGGCAGGCGGAAUUCGGUGUGUAGCGGUGAAAUGCGUAGAUAUCACGAAGAACCCCGGUUGCGAAGGCAGCCUGCCGCAGCGUUACUGACGCUGAGGCUCGAAAGCGCGGGUAUCGAACAGGAUUAGAUACCCGUGUAGUC